GACAGAGGGUGCAAACGUUGUUCGGAAUUACUGGGCGUAAAGCGAGUGUAGGCGGUGUGGUAAGUCGGAUGUGAAAGCCCCGGGCUCAACCCGGGAAGUGCACUCGAUACUGUCGAGCUAGAGUAUCGGAGAGGUUGGUGGAAUUCUCGGGUGUAGAGGUGAAAUUCGUAGAUAUCGAGAGGAACACCGGUGGCGAAGGCGGCCAACUGGACGAAUACUGACGCUGAGACUCGAAAGCGUGGGGAGCAAACAGG
rnacentral:rRNA from 1 species